AUUGAACGCUGGCGGCAGGCUUAACACAUGCAAGUCGAGCGGAGAUGAGGUGCUUGCACCUUAUCUUAGCGGCGGACGGGUGAGUAAUGCUUAGGAAUCUGCCUAUUAGUGGGGGACAACAUUCCGAAAGGAAUGCUAAUACCGCAUACGCCCUACGGGGGAAAGCAGGGGAUCUUCGGACCUUGCGCUAAUAGAUGAGCCUAAGUCGGAUUAGCUAGUUGGUGGGGUAAAGGCCUACCAAGGCGACGAUCUGUAGCGGGUCUGAGAGGAUGAUCCGCCACACUGGGACUGAGACACGGCCCAGACUCCUACGGGAGGCAGCAGUGGGGAAUAUUGGACAAUGGGCAGAAGCCUGAUCCAGCCAUGCCGCGUGUGUGAGGAAGGCCUUUUGGUUGUAAAGCACUUUAAGCGAGGAGGAGGCUACUUGGAUUAAUACUCUAGGAUAGUGGACGUUACUCGCAGAAUAAGCACCGGCUAACUCUGUGCCAGCCGCCGCCGUAAUAC
rnacentral:rRNA from 1 species